UUUCAAAAAAUUCAAAUUUCUCUCUGUUAUGCAAUUAGCGCCUCUUAUAUGCUGCCAUUUCGCUCUGAACAAAGACUAAAAUCAUCAAAUCUUCAACACAUCUAACGCUACCGCCCUGUGAUCUAUGGGUGCUGCGAAUUUGGAAAGCUUCCAGAUUACUGUAUGGUCUUCGACUCCACACGCUGGAUUUUUCAAAGGACUGGCAGAUGUAUACAAUGAAUUCAAAAUUCCAAAUCCAUGAUGGGCACACUUUGAGAGAUUCUUAUGUCAUGCCUUCUCACCUUCCAGUUGGUGGAGUUAUUGGAUCAAUCUUGGUGGUCCUUUGCUUGUUUUGGGUUGGUCUGGUAGAAGAAGAACUACCCAUGAAAGAAAUGGUUGGAAAGCUAACGACAAACACAAUGUAAAGUAAAAUAAUUAUCUAUGAAGAAGAGCUUUUAUAUAA